GGCCUCCUGGUGCUUACUACAGGCUGUGUUCUUACACCAAAAGUAAAGAAGUGGAUAAGUAAACCUACCACAUAUACACUUCAGCCUAGGCCGUGUCUGGUCUGUAUUGUGAAUGGAAAGACAUGG
rnacentral:snoRNA from 1 species